AAAAAACACAUCAAGUAAGCCAUUUAAACCAGUUCAUAUCCAAAUGGAGGUUUCAUCAAAUCAGCUAAAACUUCUGGUAAAACACAGAGAAGACAGAAAGAACAGGAGGAAGAAUAUUGUCAUUCCACAUGUGGCAGGAAUGACCCAACAUGACUCAGACAGAACAAAAAGCAGCCAAGGUGUUUCAGCAAAUCUCUGCUUCUUUUUCUGACCUUUUUCUGCUUCUUUUGGUUUUGUUUGGGGUUUUUUUUUUAUCUGGAGUGGCUCCAGACUUUUACACAGUACUGUCCCCCAAGGUAAGAAUCCACCUUCCAUCCCUGUGAUGGACAAACAUCAUGUUAACUUUUCUUUAUUUAUCAAAUCAUUUCUCAUCUUCAGUUGUCUCACAUGAUAAAAUUGUAUAAUUCUUUUCCUUUCCUGGUGCCUGAGAUGUCCUGACUGAAGAAAGCAUUGUGUCAAAGACUGAAGUUAAACAGAUGAAGUGUUGAUAUUUAAAGGAGUGAAGUUCUCCAGCUGAAUUUAGUUCUUUCUUUUACCACAUUGUUUUUCAGGUUUCCACCUGCAGACCGUUACCAUCUCCAUCUGUAACCACGGUGAUCCAUCUGCAGAGGAACCUCUCCACCUUCUGCCAUCAACCUCCAGACCCAGUUGGAUUUCAGUGACCCAGAUCAAGUGGACUCUGACCAAGAACCAUUCAUCGUCUGUGCCUCACAUUAUUCCGGAUUCCUUCCUCCACCUCCACACCACCUCAUCGUUCCUCUGACUGGGAGUGCUCUUCCACGGGGCCUUUUCUCUGGACUGAUUGUUUAAUUUGUUUAAUUAUUUAUGUUUUCUUGGGAGGAGGGUGGAGGGAGGGAGGGGAGCGUGUACAUUUUUCAUUAUGAAGUAGGAAAUUUGAGUUGUGUGAUAGAGUUGUGUGUGUUAGUGUUAUGUAAAUAUUGUAAAUAUUGUAAAUAAAAGAAC